rnacentral:rRNA from 1 species
UACAGAGACCUCAAGCGUUAUCCGGAUUCAUUGGGCGUAAAGCGCACGUAGGCGGCUUGGCAAGUCGGAUGUGAAAUCCCUCGGCUCAACCAAGGAAGUGCAUCCGAAACUGCUGAGCUUGAGUACUUAAGAGGAUCGCGGAAUUCCCGGUGUAGAGGUGAAAUUCGUAGAUAUCGGGAGGAACACCCGUAGCGAAGGCGGCACUCUGGGCCGAUACUGACACUGAGGAGCGAAAGCGUGGGGAGCGAACAGG